UGGGGAAUCUUGGACAAUGGGCGCAAGCCUGAUCCAGCCAUGCCGCGUGAGUGAAGAAGGCCUUCGGGUUGUAAAGCUCUUUUACCAGGGACGAUAAUGACGGUACCUGGAAAAUAAGCCCCGGCAAACUUCGUGCCAGCAGCCGCGGUAAUACGAAGGGGACUAGCGUUGUUCGGAAUCACUGGGCGUAAAGCGCACGUAGGCGGAUUUGUAAGUCAGGGGUGAAAUCCCGGGGCUCAACCUCGGAACUGCCUUUGAUACUGCGGAUCUCGAGUCCGAUAGAGGUGAGUGGAAUUCCUAGUGUAGAGGUGAAAUUCGUAGAUAUUCGCAGGAACACCAGUGGCGAAGGCGACUUGCUGGACUUGUAGUGACGCUGAGACGCGAAAGCGUGGGGAGCAAACAGGAUUAGAUACCCACGUAGUCCCUGAGCGGGCUGGCAAGGCGCAU
rnacentral:rRNA from 1 species